rnacentral:rRNA from 1 species
UACAGAGGGUGCGAGCGUUAAUCGGAAUUACUGGGCGUAAAGCGCGCGUAGGCGGCUUUGCAAGUCGGGUGUGAAAUCCCCAGGCUUAACCUGGGAACUGCAUUCGAGACUGCAUUGCUAGAGUAUGGGAGAGGGAAGUGGAAUUUCCGGUGUAGCGGUGAAAUGCGUAGAUAUCGGAAGGAACAUCAGUGGCGAAAGCGGCUACCUGGACCAGCACUGACACUGAGGCACGAAAGCGUGGGGAGCAAACAGG